rfam:Archeaon Loki Lokiarch_contig000108, whole genome shotgun sequence.
CUAAUAUUGAGAUGACCGAUAAUGGCUACCCUAACAUGCAUCGUUAGUAAUGAUGAUGUGUGAAGCUUUGGGAACAAUGUACCCCCAGCAUUUAGCUAUAAAAUGGUCUGAGGGGCUAGCCAAGGAGCCUAUGGGAAA